rnacentral:rRNA from 1 species
AGCCUGAACGCUGGCGGCGGUGGCUAAGACAGGCAAGUCGCACGGGGUAGGCAAUACCCAGUGGCGAACGGGAGAGUAAUGAAUCGCUAAUGUACCCCGGACUCUGGGAUAGCUACCCGAAAGGGUAGGUAAUACCAGAUGACAUAACCUCGUCGCAUGACGGGGUUCUCAAAGGUCCGCCGGUCCGGGAGCAGGCGAUUUC